rnacentral:tRNA from 1 species
UAGAGAGGACGGGUCUGGUGGCCCAACUGGUCUUCAAAACCAGCAGCGGGCGGAUAAAACCGUCCGCGGCAGGUUCGAUUCCUGCCCUCUCA